rnacentral:rRNA from 1 species
UGGGGAAUAUUGCACAAUGGGCGCAAGCCUGAUGCAGCCAUGCCGCGUGUAUGAAGAAGGCCUUCGGGUUGUAAAGUACUUUCAGCGGGGAGGAAGGUGUUGAGGUUAAUAACCUCAGCAAUUGACGUUACCCGCAGAAGAAGCACCGGCUAACUCCGUGCCAGCAGCCGCGGUAAUACGGAGGGUGCAAGCGUUAAUCGGAAUUACGGGGCGUAAAGCGCACGCAGGCGGUCUGUCAAGUCGGAUGUGAAAUCCCCGGGCUCAACCUGGGAACUGCAUUCGAAACUGGCAGGCUAGAGUCUUGUAGAGGGGGGUAGAAUUCCAGGUGUAGCGGUGAAAUGCGUAGAGAUCUGGAGGAAUACCGGUGGCGAAGGCGGCCCCCUGGACAAAGACUGACGCUCAGGUGCGAAAGCGUGGGGAGCAAACA